ACCCAUUAAGCAGUUACUUCCCAUUCCCUGCUUCCCUUAAAUGCCUGGAAGCCACAAAUAUGCUUUCCAUCUCUAUGGAUUUGCCAAUGUGGUAUUUUGUGUCAGUUUUCUUUCACUUGGCAUGAUGUUUUCAAGGUUCAUCCACAUUGUACCAUGUGUAUCAGUUAUUAUAUGUUUUUUUAAUUUAUCUUCACUGCUUGGUGUUAAAUUUGUCUCCAAAUAUUUUUUUCUUUAAUAAUGUUUUUCAGGUUGAAUUCAAGCUAAAUAAAGACACAUCGUCAUUCCCCGGUAGACUUUUACAACAUGACCUUGAAAGAAACUACUCAAGUAGGCAAGAUUUUACCAAGAAUAUAAAGAAUGUAAAAUGAGGUCCAUCACCCAAGGAGCUUGUAGAUUUAUUUGGGAAGACAAGGGCUACAUAUCUGGUGAUCAUAUUAAUUUGGUGAGCUCAUCAUUGUCAUCAUUUCCUAUUCUUCAACGUUCUUCUGAAGAGAAAAUUCUUUACUCAGACAGGUUGAGCCUAGAAAGACAAAAGCUGACCGUAUGUCCUAUCAUCAAUGGGGAAGACCACCU
rnacentral:lncRNA from 10 species